UCAACUGCCUGUUCCUGUUCUCGCGGGCUCAUCAGCGACCCCGCCGCUGUCUGACAAGAGGUGACCGCCACAAUAAUGUCAGUAAAUUGUGGACGGGCUACGUUGGCGCCUAACUCACGCCCACACUCGGACUGCCUUGGUCGUUGACGCAAACGACACUUUUCACUGUGUUUGGCUCUACAUGUAACAAAUCAAGCUAAACAGUGGCCACUCUUUCAGGUUUAAUGAACGUUUUCGUAAUUCCUAACGUCCUGGGGGUGAGCACGUGUGCCUCGUAUACAGGAAGUUUCUGCUGAUGUGUAGGAUCCCGUGGGCACCUUAGAGGGCAGACUGUGUCCUCGAUGCCUGAUGAGCCAGCACCAGACCUGCUAACCACAUUCUUGAGAGAAAAAUGGUGUCUGCCAGAGAUCAGGCAGUAACACUGGAGAAUCUCCAAUCUGCAAUGACCCCACCAGCUCAAAGAUCAAAAUUGAGAAUGAAAUUAUCUAAAGCUGACCUCAAGCUUCUUGUGAUGAAUAACUCUGCAGGAUUCUUUCCCGUUAAGUAUCAGAUCACUUUUUUGCAAUGCUGUCUCCUUACAAUUCCUUAUUUUUUUCUUUGAAAUUUUGUCCAAUUUUCUCUGCCAAUUUGUUGGAUGAAGGAAGGAAAAAAGCAGACAUCACACGAUAUAAACACGAGAAAAUCAGCAGAUGCUGGAAAUCCAAAGCAAUGCACUCAAAGUGCCGGAGGAACUCAGUAUCCAUGGAUAUGAACAGUCAAUGUUUCUGGCCGAGACCCUUCUUCAGGACUGUCACUGUCACAUGAUUUAUACUACCUUGAAAUCCUUGAAUUCCAGUUUGUGAAGCAACUUCAAUUGUCUCAUACUAACUGACAAGGCAAUCUUUAAACACUAAUCCUUUUUAAUUGUAGCACAUAAUGUUAAGGUAAUCUUGAAAUAUAUCCAUUCACUUUGAAUACAGGAAAAUUAAUCUCAGGGAUAAUAAAAUUUACUUUGACUUUCAAUAAGCACCAGUUACCAGUAAUGAUAUCCUCUUCAGAAAGAUCGAGUACUUCAGCUUACACUCUGGUUAACCCUUUCACCCAAGUAAUCCUCACACACUUGUUUUUUAGUUCCCCACAUGAAACUUUCAUCCAAUACAUUUGGUUUUAAUUCUAGGAACAGAGGGACAUUCACAUAUUGAUAGUUUCAAAUAUUUUCUCACUGAGAAGCUUGUCAAUCUCUCUCUCUAAUUUUAAUUUGCUUGCAUAAGGCACUGGUCUUAUCUUGAAGAACUAUGGUGGAACAUUGAGAUUGACUUUGAUGCCUGCAAUGUGCCCAGCUCAUUUUGAGAAUCUACUGUCUUCGAAGUGCCACUUGUAAUAUCCCAGCCUCGCCCACCUUUGCACGAUGACAUAUUUCUCCAAUCCAAUAAAUUUCUUUUGGCUAUUUUCUUCUCAACAUGUUUGGUCUAAAGCCUGCAAUAGCAGUUGAUGAUCUUUGGUAUUUUGUGGUUGCACCCACGAUUCCAGCUGUUUCGAUGUUCAAGUGCAGCAUUUUGUACCUGGCUCAUCAGUGUAACUCUGCGUUCAUCUAGUGUUGCUUAAAUGUCACCUGAUGUUUAUCAUCAUAACAACAGUCAAGAGUCUUCUUGUAAAGAGAGAGCCCUUUACAUCGAACACGAUAACACUUCCUCUAUUGUACAGUCUUCAUUUGCUUCAUCUACAUGUGGAUGAUGGAAAAUGGAAAUAUUGAGCACCUUCCUUUUGUUUCGAGUUUAUGCUGAUUUGUACAAGCCCUGGUCUUUUAACACACAAUUCUCACAACAUUCUUCUGAAUCAGCAAACAGCCAGAACAUACUUCUCCCAUAGAAUCUAGUCUUUCUUUAUCCUUUGAAAGUGAUGUUCAGAUAACUUCAAACAACUCCUGACUGACUUUAUUU